rnacentral:rRNA from 1 species
GGCGAACGCUGGCGGCGUGCCUAAUACAUGCAAGUUGAGCGCUGAAGGUUGGUACUUGUACCGACUGGAUGAGCAGCGAACGGGUGAGUAACGCGUGGGGAAUCUGCCUUUGAGCGGGGGACAACAUUUGGAAACGAAUGCUAAUACCGCAUAAAAACUUUAAACACAAGUUUUAAGUUUGAAAGAUGCAAUUGCAUCACUCAAAGAUGAUCCCGCGUUGUAUUAGCUAGUUGGUGAGGUAAAGGCUCACCAAGGCGAUGAUACAUAGCCGACCUGAGAGGGUGAUCGGCCACAUUGGGACUGAGACACGGCCCAAACUCCUACGGGAGGCAGCAGUAGGGAAUCUUCGGCAAUGGACGAAAGUCUGACCGAGCAACGCCGCGUGGGUGAAGAAGGUUUUCGGAUCGUAAAACUCUGUUGGUAGAGAAGAACGUUGGUGAGAGUGGAAAGCUCAUCAAGUGACGGUAACUACCCAGAAAGGGACGGCUAACUACGUG